CUCCAUCCCUUUCUUAGGAAUGUCUCCUUUAACAACUCUGCUGGAGAAACGGUAUCUUUCAGUGAGAGCAGGGAAGUAGAAGCUGGCUUUGAUAUUACCAACAUAGUCACUUUUCCAAAUAACUCCUUCAUGAGAGUCAAGGUUGGAAGAGUGGGUGGGGAGGCUGUCCCAGGCCAGCUGAUUUCCAUUGAUGACAACAGAAUGGUGUGGCACCAGAGCUUUCACCAGGUGAGGCAUAAUUCCUACAUCCAUGAGAGAUAGGAAAAGAGAAUAUCUUUAACAUUACAUUCCAACAGAUCGCACUCCAUUUGAGAUAUUUGUUCCCCAGAUGGUCAGGUUGAGCACACUUUUUUUAAAAGCAUGAAUAGAAAACUGAGUAGUUUGGCUCUGAGUCUGGAAUAAGUAUUUUAGUGUCUUCCUAUUUCUAGUUGGGGGUGGGUUGAAAUACUACUAAUUUCUGUGUGCUAAAAUGUUUAUGUGUUUAUUUAAAUGGGCAGGUUUCACCCCUUUCGUUAUGUAACCCAAGUUGCCCUCCUGGUUCCAGGAAGGAAAAGAAGGAGGGGGAGCCAUUCUGCUGCUAUGAUUGUGCUCCAUGUCCUCAAGGCAAGAUUUCAUCACAGAAAGGUAGGAGACACAAUAUAUAGAUGGUACUUUUCAAAUGUAUAAAGGAGACAUCUGUGAUAUUUCUAUUUGAACCUUAAGAGUUUCACAGUGGUAGCAUUUGUAGUUGCUAUCCAGAACAUUUGAAAUCUGAAUAUAUUAUUUUCUUUCCAGACAUGGAUGACUGUGUUGCAUGCCCCGAAGAUCACUAUCCACAGAGAGACCAAUCGCAAUGCAUUCCAAAGACCAUCAGCUUCCUGUCUGUUAAAGAGCCUCUGGGGAUGAGCUUAGCAUUGUUGGCUCUUUUUCUCUCUUUUCUUACAGUGGUGGUCCUAGCCAUCUUCAUUAAACAUCAGGACACACCACUUGUCAGAGCAAACAAUCGGGACCUCACCUACACUCUCCUCACUUUCCUCCUGCUCUGCUUCCUCUGCCCAUUGAUCUUCCUCAGCCCUCCAGAAAGAGUGAGCUGCCUGCUCCGACAAAUGGCUUUUGGCCUUGUUUUCACAGUGACCGUUUCUUGUGUUCUGGCCAAAACGAUCACGGUGGUUCUGGCCUUUGUGGCCACCAAACCAGGAUCCCGAAUGAGGACGUGGGUGGGGAAAAGACUGGCAAGCUCCAUUGUGAUUUCUUGUUCCCUUAUCCAAGCAGUCAUUUGUACUAUAUGGUUAGGAAUCUCUCCCCCAUUCCCUGAUUCUGACAUGCAGUCUGCGAUGAGGGAAAUCAUUCUAGGCUGCAACGAAGGGUCAGUCGCCCUGUUUUACUGUGUCCUGGGCUACAUGGGCUUUUUGGCCAUUCUCAGCUUUGUUGUAGCAUUUUUUGCCAGGAAACUGCCUGACAGCUUCAAUGAGGCCAAAUUCAUCACCUUCAGCAUGUUGUUGUUUUGUAGUGUUUGGAUCUCGUUUCUUCCAGUGUACCUGAGCACCAAGGGGAAAUACAUGGUGGCUGUGGAGAUCUUCUCCAUCUUGGCCUCCAGUGCUGGCUUACUGGGCUCCAUCUUUGCUCCCAAAUGCUACAUCAUUGUGUUGAGGCCUGAUCUGAACUGCAAGGAGAAGUUAAUAAAGAAGAAAUAACAAAUUAGC
rnacentral:lncRNA from 1 species